UUCUUCGCUACACCUCGGAGA
rnacentral:snRNA from 1 species